GCCCUGCUGGCGCAAUGGUAGCGCGUCAGACUUCUAAUCUGAAGGUUGCCGGUUCGAGCCCGGCGUAGGGUG